CCUACGGGUGGCAGCAGUGAGGAAUAUUGGUCAAUGGGCGCGAGCCUGAACCAGCCAAGUAGCGUGAAGGAUGACUGCCCUACGGGUUGUAAACUUCUUUUAUAAAGGAAUAAAGUGAUGCACGUGUGCCUUUUUUUAUGUACUUUAUGAAUAAGGAUUGGCUAACUCCGUGCCAGCAGCCGCGGUAAUACGGAGGAUCCGAGCGUUAUCCGGAUUUAUUGGGUUUAAAGGGUGCGUAGGCGGACUGUUAAGUCAGCGGUAAAAGUCCGGGGCUCAACCCCGGCGAGCCGUUGAAACUGGCUGUCGUGAGAUGUCGAGAGGUAUGCGGAAUGCGUGGUGUAGCGGUGAAAUGCUUAGAUAUUGCGCAGAACUCCGAUUGCGAAGGCAGCAUACCGGCGGCGAUCUGACGCUGAGGCACGAAAGCGUGGGUAUCGAACAGGAUUAGAUACCCUUGUAGUC
rnacentral:rRNA from 1 species